rnacentral:rRNA from 1 species
AUGCGGGGAACUUCCCAUCAAGUACCCAUUCUGGCUCGGCGGCCCAAGCUAUCCGUCGAAUUCCUCCUGCGGCCACCCGGCCUUCGAGUUACGGUGCACCGGCAACAGCACCUCCACAACGUGGGCCCUGUGGAAUGCGAGGAACAAAGCCCUCAUCGAAGGAAAGGUGUUCAAGCAGCCCGCCGACCUGGUUUACAAGAUGAUUAUCUUCCUGCAGCUGUGGAAGCCCCUUGGUAG